UUCACUCUAGCAAUGCAACAUCAGGUCAAUAGUUGACGCCUCUUGAUGGUGGCAUUUAUCGUUGGUGAUGCCUCCUCUUCCUGCGAGGAACUGGCUUUUAAUGGAGAAAACUGAGGCAACAGUGACACAAGCAGCGGUGUCCUUGCUGUCUUCACCGGAAGGGCAGCCCCGCCUCCCUGGGAGAAAGGUGUUGUCAGUGUGGAGUUGCUGCUGAUUGCAGCCGGCGAUGAAAACUCAAGAUGUAUAUCCAUCCGAUAGCAGCCAUUGUAGAAGUUGCGUCCGUGGAAGGUUUUUUGUCCAUACUCCGCAUCCUCAUGAGAUUGGAAUUGAACCGAAGCUUUCACACGUGUUUCCAUCUCAUACAUGUAAAUCCUCGAUGGAGUAGAUCCUCUGUCACUGGAUAGAGCAGAUUGCUCAUAGUGACAUGGAGAACUUGUUCGGCAUCGGAAGCUAUGGUGAGUGCCUUUGAUACCAAGUUGUCAUGACCCGAGACCAUGACAGGAUAAACACCACCGGGAAGAUAGCCGGGCGGCAUCGGCUCCUGGAGAAGGGAUGUAGAUUUAUGCUAGAGAGAAGAACAUUACUGGGAGGGAGAGAUUAGACUAAUUGAUAGAUGGUAUAGCUUGACCCUUAAGUAAGAAUUCAAUCUAAUUUUAUCUCUAACUUAACUAAUAAUCUUAUCUCUAACUUAAUUGAUAAUAUGGGCUGCCUACGGACCUCUGCCUUCUGGCCCAAUGCGAAUGACAUGAGGCAUGGUUUAUUGUUGCUGAAAGGGAGCUUCCUAUCGUUGAUGGAGUUAUUUGUGAGUUGAAAAUUGAAAUACCUUGGUGUGCAUCAAUUUCUUGAGCAGCCUACUGGACUCUGUUUUGCAUAUUUUUCAGAAAAUAUCGUGCAUCUAAAAUGAAAGCGGAUGGAUCAUUCUAACUGAUGGAUGAAUACGCCAAGAAUUUAUGAGAAGUUGUACUACGACAAAAAUAUUCGAUAGCGAUACAUUAGUAGAGACAAUUUUCGAAUCAUCUCUAUAUUGAAAUAUAGAGUUCCGUAACCUAUUAACAAGUUAUAGAGGCAAUUUUAAAAUCGUCUACAAUAGUUCUGCGUUAAAGAAAUUUUUUAGGCACUCUUGACAUCUACUAGAUGUAUUUGCUAAUUUUGUCUUGUAGAGGCAUUUUUAGGCUCUCAAUCAUUCGUGUCAGUUUGUAUAACUAAACGGGCCUUGCAAGUAGGAUACCAUGCAGACAUAAGAGAAAGGUGAGAGUCCGCUAUGAAUAUAUGUGACGACAUUGAGGACAGCUUUGCAUGGAUAUGAUUGUAAGAUGGAAAGUUAUGGGUGUCACAUGCCAUUUAUAUUUCUCCGUCUAGUGAUUUGGGGAGAUUUAAUUGCGUAUUCCUUGUUUUCUUGGGUACGAAAGCUUCAAUAUUAGGAGUACACACAUGUCCUUUUUAUGGCUAUGUGUCAUGUUUUUAAAUUAUUAGAACUUUUGGUUAUGUGCAUUAGAGGCUGGAGAUGUAAUUCUCAUGUUACUUAUCUAAAAGAAGCCUUUUUGCCUCUGACAACUUUCAACCCUAUGUGGAGGACAUGUAUGCACAUGUUUAUGUGACAUUGUGUAAUCCAUGUCAAAUUGUACCCUUCGAAACAGGUUUGCACCAUAUCGACACAGGUUCUGUAAGUAAUAACCGAUAUGGUUAACAAAUUGAUAUCGUUGUAAUCAUUAGGACGCCUAUGAGUACAAUUCCAUACUACACAUAACAUUUGCCUUCUCUUGUUGAAGGGAAAUAUGGAUUAUCUUGACUUGAAAAAUAUAUGCAGAUCAAAAUCCAUCCCACGGUUGUGUACGGCUUCACAUAUAUAUGAAGUAUGGUUCUGUGUACGAAAUCGUUUCAGAGGACAAUAUGAUCUAAUACUGCACUCUAGUACAACAAAGUUCCUCCAGGUAGGUAUUGGAGAAUGCCAAGCUAUAGUGACAUGAAUUGGAAGCUGACUAACAUGUUGUGACAUAGAUGAAGUUGAACUAAAGACACUAGCACUAGUAUUCGUGGUGACUUCUCGUCACUCUUGAGUAACCAUUUCUUUUCCAGGAGCUUCUCAUUCCUAGGAUAUUUGACUUCUAAUUAAUUUCAAUGAACUGACCUCAAUGUGCUAACUGUUUAUUGUGGCUUUUCAAAAGUCCUCGAGCUGGUGGAAUAAUCAAGUCGGUUAGAGUUCUCUAGAAUCCAAGACAUAUUAUUGAAGCAGUUUAUCAAGCUAAGUGGAAUGAGUCACAAACUUGUGGUACAUUCUAGUCUCGUUGUACAAUGCCAACCAGUUCCCCUCUAUCCAUAGAUUACACUGGCUAUAUAUAAGGCUUGAUGGAUGACAAUGCGAAGGCUAUAAAGUAAUGGAAAACCAUAUCUAUCAUACUUUCAAUGGUUUAUUAUUACAGGACGUAGAGGUCGGUGGAUGGAGACUUGAUAUUAAGUAGGCCGGGCAACACUCUAUAGUAUGUAUUUUGCAUUUGAAGAAAAUCCAUUGUAUUUAUAAAUGAAUUUUUUUAUUAAUCUCAGAAAACAACAUCAAGAUAUCGAUGAUAUAAUUAAUCUAGGACCAAAUAUAGGCUCUACAUAGUUAGAACGUACACAAUCUAUAAUUAUAAAACAAGGAAGAAUGAUGUGACAAAAAGAUAUCAAGCCGUAGCGAGUUAUAACCACAAACAAUCUUUAUCAUUAUACUCAAACAUAGUAAUGUUUGGACUGUAAUAAAGGCCUCUAAAAAGGGAAUGCCGUGUGUAGGUAGUUGCCGCUGCCAUGAUCCGGUCAGCAAAUCCUAUACUAUAGGUUUUCACCACAGGAGACUACAGACUUCAACAGGGAACUGAGUGUUUGCCAUUUCUAGCUUUUGUGAUUUUUCCUGGAACUAUUUGACCAUUAUUUGAUUAUGUUACUUUCAAUUGGAUGAAACCCUAAAUUUGUGCUCGCUGCAAUUCUUCCUAAAAGAGAGGAACAGGAGGCCAGUGACAACUGACAAUCUCUGUCUUCCCUGUCAGUAGAUUUGUUAUUGUGCGAGCGUGGAGAUAGGGUGCCCACGUGGUGUGAUUUGUGUCGAUGGAGGAAAACCAAAUUAUCUUUGUGCCGCCAAGCCUCGUUUGUCUCGUCGCGAGAUUUUGGCAUUCACUCUUUUCCUUGAAAUGUAUUCUUAUGCAAUACAAUUUAUUUCCAAUAAUAGCUAUCUGCAAUACAAUUUCUUUCCAAUAGUAA